GAUUUGAUUUGAUUUGAAUGCGCCCGAACUCGUCUGAUCUCGGAAGCUAAGCAGGGUCAGGCCUGGUUAGUACUUGGAUGGGAGACCGCCUGGGAAUACCAGGUGCUGUAAGCU
rnacentral:rRNA from 1 species